rnacentral:rRNA from 1 species
UUUCCGUAGGUGAACCUGCGGAAGGAUCAUUACAGAAUGAAAGUGCUUAACUGCAUUUUUUUACACAUGUGUUUUUCUUUUUUUUUGAAAACUUUGCUUUGGUGGGCCCAUGGCCUGCCAGAGAUUAAACUCAACCAAAUUUUAUUUAAGUCAACUGAUUAACUAAUAGUCAAAACUUUCAACAACGGAUCUCUUGGUUCUCGCAUCGAUGAAGAACGCAGCGAAAUGCGAUAAGUAAUAUGAAUUGCAGAUAUUCGUGAAUCAUCGAAUCUUUGAACGCACAUUGCGCCCUUUGGUAUUCCAAAGGGCAUGCCUGUUUGAGCGUCAUUUCUCCCUCAAACCUUCGGGUUUGGUGUUGAGCGAUACGCUGGGUUUGCUUGAAAGAAAGGCGGAGUAUAAACUAAUGGAUAGGUUUUUUUCCACUCAUUGGUACAAACUCCAAAAUUCUUCCAAAUUCGACCUCAAAUCAGGUAGGACUACCCGCUGAACUUAAGCAUAUCAAUAAGCGGAGGAAA